ensembl:lncRNA
CCCACAUAUAAGAAAUGUGUCUUUUCAGAUUGGUGGUGUUUCUUAAAGGGGUAUUCUGCAAACCAAACAACAACAAAUAACAUAAAAAUCAAAAAAUCACCAUGUGAUUUUUGUCUCUCUACUGUAGGCUACACUAAUCUUUUAAGUCAACAUUCGUUCAGAACGAUUAGCUUUAAAUCAAGACAAAAUGUUGCUCUUAAAAAGUAUCAAAAGAAAGUUGGAUAAUGAAAAUCGAAAUUUCAAGGAAGAGUGUACAGAGAGAUGAAAAUGUCCCUGUUUGGAAAUAAUUACAUCUCAGAGAUCAUUAUGAAUCUAAGCAUGUAACUUUCAAAGUGGCCUUCCCGCCCGAGACAGAGGCCCAGGUAGAAACACUGAAGCAUUAACGGCAAGCUGAUAUACUCUGUCACUUAAACAGGUUAAAAGUGCAGUUAUAAGUAAGAGGGAAAACAGUCGUAGACAUGGUGGAAAAACUUGAGGCCUUUACUAGGAAGAUUGAGUUGUUCGAUUUGGAUUAAUAAUCUGGAAGGCUACUGCACUUCAGCACAGGGAAUAAACGACAGGGAGAGUGACCAUGCCCAGCAUUGUUACAGAUGUGAUUUCAAGAUUUCAUCAACCAGCUGAGGGACAACUUCUCCACCAGAUUUGGCUGGGAUUUGAAGACUGCACCAUGCCCACGGAUAUCAUUGCGUUUUUACAUGAUCCUCUCACAGUCCGCACAGGUGGAGAAUUCUCCUCCCUUGUUAAGAAAACGAUACCCUCGCAGGGAUGUGCUCAGGAGUGCGGAGGCCUUGUAGCGUUUUGGGUGGCAUGCUCAGAGGAAUACAGCACAAUAAAGAAACUUGCAUUUUAUUUGCUAACAAUGUUUGGAUCGAUUUACUCCUGCGAGUCCUCAUUUUCCUCCAUGAACGCAAUAUAGAUUCACGACAGGAAAAAUAUUUCAUAUAAGUCAAUCGAGGACUGCCUGCGCAUCAAAAUCACAUCCAUCUCCCAUUGAGUAAGUAACUUAUUGGCCUAUAUGAAUGUAUUUAGUAAAUACUAACAUUAUUGUGAGUGCUUAUCCAGGGAUAUUUAGGUCUCAAGCUGACAGCAUUUUCUGUUCUGUCAUUACACGUCUAUCCGGAUACAGACAUUCAGAUACAGACAUUGAGCUACAGACAUCGCCUUUUUUCUUAAAUUAUGGUUUUAUGUUGGAUGCUACAUUUUUGUCCAAUUGCAAUUGUAAGUAGUCCUCAUAAAAAAAUCCUACUUCUAUUAGGCCAAAUAUUUUUUCAUUGUGAAAGAUGAUGUUAAGCCUCAUAGCCCACCUCAGCCAGUAUUUCAUAUAGGCCUAGACUCUGAAGAAAUAUACUUAAAUUAAGCCCUGGUGUUGUUUGUAAAGUCCAAUUAAAAUGAAGAUUAGUGUUGAACUGGUGUAGGUUUUUUAUAUAUGUUGCUGUGCUACACUUGCAUAGCAAGACUCUUACUAGAACUUGUGAAUUCAAUAUAGAUUUUAAUACAGAGUAGCAAAGCCGUGCUGAUCCAUGGAACAACCAACUUAUCUGAGCACAGAGCUCUGCCUUUAUAUCUUUGCAGCCUCACACACAGCAUAUGGUACACCCCAUAUGUAAAUGAAAUCACUCCCCUUGUCCUUCCACCACCAUUAUCUUUUAGUCCGAAUUCUUGCUUGUUCACGCCUAGUAACGCCCACAUCUGCUUCAGGUUAGAUUAUAAUGGUGGCAGGACCCCUUAUGUAAUACAAAAAAUAAUACAUUUAUUGCAUACUUCACGUUUCACAUGUUGGUCAUUUCGCUACCAUCCUCCCUUCACGUUCUCCUGUCAUUAGUAUGUCCAGAUGUAACAAAUGUAAUUAUGGCCUUAGCUAAUGUACUCAUGUACAUUGUUUUAAUGUAAUCAUUGGCAUGUUUGUUUUGCCCAGAAGAAACAAAUGCACUAGAUGAUAUCACUUCUACUUCCUGUUAAUGUGAUUAUUGUCCUGUUUUCUCAGCAUGGCAACUGCACCUAGUUACAUUGCAUUAACUCCCACACAAGUUAGCUAUAUUUUCAGUACCAGGUGCUGUUCACCUCCUAUUGAAUGCGCCGCGGUUGCAGCUUUACGUUUCACCACCACAAAAUGGUCCGCCAACUUUUUUAUUAAUUCACUGUAUCCUGCAUUCUCUCUCCACAUGAAUGAAGUUAAAAUGUAACCUUUUCAUUAUUUAGGUAGGGGCCAAAUCAUUUUGCUGGCAUGCCAGAUUUGGCCCGCGGGCCGCCAGUUGGGGAACCAUGCCCUAAGGAAAGGGACUCUCCUCCCAGGGCUGGGUAAACGAGACCUUUCCUUCCCUGCUGAGCGAGAACACAGAACGUUUCAGCCAGUCAGGCAAGGAGCCACAGCACCUAGCCCCGCCCUCACUCUCCAUUCGAACUGAAUUAUAAAAGCGUGGCUCGAAUAAUGGCCACUGCCGACCGAAAUCCUUCUGCUGCUCAGACAUAAGCGUAGUUGGUAACUGGAAAGCACCCUUGCUUACCUUCAGAUUAUAAUUGUGACACAUAGGCCUAUGUUUUAUCCCUACUCACUAAGAAAGUUUCCUAUCAAUUGAAAUGAUAGAUGGUGCCCUGUUUAUGGUGGAAUAUAGAAAACACAUAUUUGAAAUACACCAUUAGUUACCCAAUUAAAUAGACAUUAUCAUAAUGUUAGGCCACUCCUCUACACCAGUAAUUAAAAUAUUCAUGCAAGUAGACCACUGAUUGACCAGAUCAUCCUCCUCAGGAGUAUGGCAUCAUACUCUGAGGAAAAAGCAAGCAUUUUUUUAAAAUGUCUGUUUGAGAUACAAGUUUAAGGUGUUAUUUUUAAAUUUUUAUAUAUAUAUGCUUUGGCCAUAUAUGAGUAUAAGAUGAGUCAACAUUAUUUGGGUAUAACUGUCUAUUUUCACUGGACAGUUACUUUAAGUCGAAUAAUGUUGGUGUUUUUUACGAUGGGAGGGUCGGGAUCACGUGACUGGCUUCAAUAUUCUUUCAUUGGUCACCUAAGUAAAGAUGUUGCUACAGUGCUGACCAACUUUUCAACAUGUGCUCAAGCUGUAAAUUCUCAAAGUAUUUUGAGCUCUUAGUUUACUGACAGACUAGCUCUGGUCCAGAGCUUUUGCUGUCCCACAUUCCUAAUCUCAACAGGCAUGGGAUUUGAACCAGCAACCCUGUGGGCAAUGGUUCACCUCUUUAACCUUUAGGUUGUACAGUACAUUUUUAUGGUAGCCUACAUAUUAAAUUGCUGACUGAGUAAACGCAGACUGACACUUCUUCUUUCUCCAAUACUUUCCAAACAUCCCACAUCACUCUGUGUUACUGUAUGUUGGUGGUUUCAGAAGACACAUUAGUUCUCGUUCGUUAGACUAAUGUUUGCCUUUUUGGUAUUUUAAACUUUUCUUCCAAAUUUUCGUCAGACAACGCUGAAGUGAGAGCAGAACAUGGACGUGGUUGUGCGCCAUAACCACAGAGGACACCAGGAGUUUGCUGUCCAGGCCGAGCACUUGAAACUGCCGUACCUAGGACUUAGACUGAAAGCUCAGGGCAUUCACAAUAAGUACCUCUUCAAAGACAACAUCCCAGAAUACCCAAGGCCAGAGUUCUGGGUUUCCCAGCUCAGACACGACACGAAUGAAGGUGGGCUAUUUGGCAUAGCCGUCGAAAGCGAAGGGGGGUUCUGUGCUAGGGACGGAGAAGAGGGGCCAGAGGACCCAGAAGAGGGGCCAGAGGGUUUGGACCUGCUGUGGUGGAGCUUGUCUUUGGGAGCAGAGGAGAUGGCCUUGGCUGAACAACGUCUGCUCCAGACCAGGUACCCUGACAGGACAGAGGAGCAGGCCAGGGAGCAGAAAUCCUUCCUGCAGAGGUUCGCCACCUCACCUGCCUUCCUGAACACCUCUCGGCUGGGCUCCUACCGAUUCACCUUCCCCCUGGAGGAGCUGCUUAAGAGAUACCGGGAACAGCUAUGCGUUGGACACGAGCCAAUCCUGCGUGUGUAUGAGACAGUCCUGUACAAACAGGUGGUGAUGUACUCAGUGCUAGUCCACAGUCACUUCAACAACGACCUCUUUGAGAAGAGGACAAUGACGAUGGAGUCUGCGCUUACAGAGAUGGACAAAUCAUUUGGAGACCCGAGGCCAUGUGUGAGACACACAGCUUCAAACUGGUGCCAAAGCCCUACCAGAACCAGGAUGUAGCCCACCUGAUCCCUGAUCCACAGAAACACCAGUUCUACGUUUGGGACAACAUUGCUGUAGCGUUCCACAUGGACGGUUCACAGAUGUUGAACUUCGAUAUGUACAAUUUGAGAGGCCAUCUGAGAUUCUGUGAGCCAGGAACGCCACCAAUUUCCCCCACCUGUGAGUUGACCACAUACGAGGAGGCCAAAGACAUGGUAGACUGCUAUUGGCCUUACUACCAUACCCCCCUGUUCUGAUAAACUUAAUACCACACCCCCCUGUUCUGAUAAACUUAAUACCACACCCCCUGUUCUGAUAAACUUAAUACCACACCCCCUGUUCUGAUAAACUUACUACUACACCCCCCUGUUCUGAUAAACUUACUACUACACCCCCCUGUUCUUAUUUCUCCUAUUUCUUGAUUUGUUGUUUGGAUUGUUUUCAUGAUUGUGUAUUUGGAUUGUAUUUGCGAGACAUUCUACUGCACUGUUGGAGCUAGUAACACAAUCUUUUCCAUGCACCUGCCAUAACACCUGCAAAUCUGUGUACGUGACCAAUAAACUUUGAUUUGAUGAUGAUUUUGAAGUCAGGUAAAGUUAAAAUUGUUAUUCUUUCAACAUGCUUCACUGGUUUAAAACUUGAUAGGGACUUGGUCCCUGUGGCGGGAUCAAAUCAGCGGAAAUUUUAGAGCGCCACCUAUAGUUUUCAAUAAAACUCAAACUUUAAUUAAAACACACAUGCAAGGUACUGAAUUAAAGCUACACUCGUUGUGAAUCUAGCCACCAAGUCAGAUUUGUAAAAUGCUUUUCGGCGAAAGCAUGAGAAGCUAUUAUCUGAUAGCAUGCACCCCCCAGAAUACCAGACCGUCAACAAAACAACAGAUUUUGCGGUAGCCGGCGCUACCCAAAAUGCAGAAAUAAAAUAUAAAACAUUCCUUACCUUUGACGAGCUUCUUUCUUGGCACUCCUAUAUGUCACAUAAACAUCACAAUUGGGUCUUUUUCCCGAUUAAAUCCGUCAUUGUAUACCCAAAAUGUGAUUUGCUGAAGACUGGUCUGAUCCAGAAAAAUGCCCCUUUACAAGACGCAACGUCACUUUUUAAAAUUACAAAAGUUGCCUAUAAUCUUUUACAAAUCACUUCAAACUACUUUUCUAAACCAACUUUAGGUAUUAAUAAACGUUAAUAAUCUAUCAAAUUGAUCACGGGGUGAUCUGUAUUCGAUAGCAGCAAGUCUUGAAAUCAUCUUCCAUGUUUUCAAUUUCAUAACAUCCUGUGGUGAGCCCCAAAACAGGAAGUGCCUAUACGUCAUCAAACCAAGGAUAAAGGAGACUGAAAAUGCCAGUACUGGCGACAUCGUGUGGAAGCUGUAGGCGUUUACAGGGGAUCCCCAUGUAUUUUCUUCAGCCUUAGACAAUACAUUGACUGGCGGAUGAAUAUUAUUUUUGUGUUUUUGGUGAACAGUUUUUCGAAGGAUUUUUACUCCUGAACACGUUAUGUUAUAGCCACAGACACGAUUUAACCAGUUUUAGAGACUUCAGAGUGUUUUCUAUACACACACACUUAUCAUAUGCAUAUACUAUAUUCCUGGCAUGAGUAGCAGGACGCUGAAAUGUUGCAUGAUUUUUAACAAAAAGCUGCGAAAAUUUGCAGCCUCCUUAACAGGUUUUAAACCCAGUAAGCUACAUGUGUUUUUGUUAGUCAGCAUUAGUACAUUCUUUGUCAGGUUUGAGAACAUAUUGCUUUUGUUAGUCAGCAGUACUAUAUUGUUUGUCAGGAUUGAGAAAAUAUUGCUUUUGUUAUUUUUGUGUCUUUGCUCUACAAGGAGCUAAAAGGACUCAAGUAUUUUUUGUUAAGUUAGAAUUUUUAAGAAAAUAAAUCUUCUACAUUGGGACUAAACUAUUUAGCCCAGUCUCUCAA